UGGUAGCUAGCAAAGUGGAAGAGCACCGGGCUUAUAACCCAGAGGUCGAUUGAUCGAAACAAUUGCUAGCUA
rnacentral:tRNA from 1 species